CACUUUGUGCCAGAGUCUCGGCCAGAACAUCGGCAUGAGGUGGAACAACGUACGCAACUCUGCAGGGGACUGCAGGUGCCCAGAUGCUUAGCUGGGCUGCAUCAUGGAAGACACAGGAUACUAUCUACCCAGAAAGUUUUCUUGCUGCAGCGUUGAUGAGUACAUCCAGUUCUUGCUCCAGGGGGGCGGGAACUGCCUCUUCAAUAAGCCAAACAAGGUGAGGGCCAUGUGGGGCCUCUGAGCAUCAUUUAUAGACUAAUUAAUUAUU